UACGUAGGGUGCGAGCGUUGUCCGGAAUUAUUGGGCGUAAAGAGCGCGCAGGCGGUCGGAUAAGUCGAAUGUGAAAGCCCCCGGCUCAACUGGGGAGGGUCAUUCGAUACUGUUCGACUCGAAGGCAGGAGAGGGAAGUGGAAUUCCCGGUGUAGUGGUGAAAUGCGUAGAUAUCGGGAGGAACACCAGUGGCGAAGGCGACUUACUGGACACAUAUUGACGCUGAGGUGCGAAAGCGUGGGGAGCAAACAGG
rnacentral:rRNA from 1 species